UUGUGGAGAGAGGCACUGAGGCUAGUGGUGUUGUGGAGAAAGGCACUGAGGCUAGUGGUGUUGUGGAGAGAGGCACUGAGGCUAGUGGUAUUGUGGAGAGAGGCACUGAGGCUAGUGGUGUUGUGGAGAGAGGCACUGAGGCUAGUGGUGUUGUGGAGAGAGGCACUGAGGCUAGUGGUGUUGUGGAGAGAGGCACUGAGGCUAGUGGUGUUGUGGAGAGAGGCACUGAGACUAGUGGUGUUGUGGAGACCGGCUUGGAGACUAUGGUGAGG